GACGAACGCUGGCGGCGUGCUUAACACAUGCAAGUCGAACGGUGAAGCGCUUUCCUUUUUGGUUGGUGUGGAUGAGUGGCGAACGGGUGAGUAACACGUGAGUAACCUGCCCCCUUCUUCUGGAUAACCGCAUGAAAGUGUGGCUAAUACGGGAUAUUCUGCGCCUGCUGCAUGGUGGGUGUGGGAAAGAUUGUGCCUUUGGGUGUUUUCGGUGGGGGAUGGGCUCGCGGCCUAUCAGCUUGUUGGUGGGGUGAUGGCCUACCAAGGCGGUGACGGGUAGCCGGCCUGGGAUGGUGGACAGUCACACUGAGACUGGGACGCGGCCCAGACUCCAACGGGAGGCAGCAGUGGGGAAUAUUGCACAAUGGGCGCAAGCCAGAUGCAGCGACGCCGCGUGAGGGAUGGGGGCCUUCGGGUUGUGAGCCUCUUUCGCCAGUGAAGCAGGCCUGCUCCUUGUGGGUGGGUUGACGGGAGCUGGAUAAGAAGCGCCGGCUAGCUACGU
rnacentral:rRNA from 1 species